rnacentral:tRNA from 2 species
AAGGCCUUAGCUUAAUUAAAGUGUCUGAGUUGCAUUCAGAAGAUGUGGGAUAAAGUCUCGCAGGCCUUA